GACGUCCUGAAUUCGAAUAGGGCUGGAUUCAAACUACCAUCCGUCCGGAAGUCCAUCCGACGAGAUGGUCCCGGUCGCCCGCUUCUUUGGGAAGCGGUGUCGUUCCCGGCGAUCACUCCGAGGGUGUCGACACAUUCUGGAACUCGGAGGAGUGCAAUUCCCCCUUAGUAGAAACGUUGCGACUCGUUGGGUGCCAGUCUAAGGCCCGGGAUGGUAGACCGUGCGUCCUGGGGGAGUGAUCCCCCAGGCGCGCGGACGCCUGGUGACCCGGCUGGAGCCCGACGGUAUGAAAAGAGGAGCCUAUCCGCUGAAUGAAAAUGUGUUGCGUCCGGUCCCGGUGUUGAUGUGCGCAUGGAACAAGGCUGAGGCGCUUGCGCGGCCCUAAGCAUGCGAGUCUUCGAUUACCGGUGCCCGGACCGGAUCAGUGCCUCCCGUCCGCGGCGCCCACCUUCGGAUGGUCUCCCG
rnacentral:rRNA from 1 species